rnacentral:lncRNA from 1 species
GGGGGAGGUUGGUUUUGGCUUGUGAGAGGAAUUAAGGGCUGGUGAGAUGAGGGUUCUAUAAGAAGAUGUUGAGAGAGCCUUGUCAAAACUACUGAGGACACUUACUAUGAGUACUGGAGCUGAUUUUAGUGACUUCUGGAGUUAUGGCUAUGAUCACAUGCUUCCUGUGCAGGUGCUGUGCAGUUUUACCCUAAGAUUGUCUUCAGGCCAAGAGAUUUAGGACUGCGAUCUUGCGCCACAUCUUUGCAUAUUUACAUGAAUCCCAGAUGAGUUUGAAAGAACUAAGGAACUUUAUCCAUCACAUCGUAUUCACCCACCCACACAGCUGGGCAUGGCUGCAAAAAGGGUUAUUACUGGGGAACAGCAUCCAUUCCUGCAAUAAACUAAUGACAUAA